UACGAGGGUGCAAGCGUUAUUCGGAAUAACUGGGCGUAAAGAGCGCGUAGGCGGCUUGUUAAGUCUGUUGUUAAAGUGCCCGGCUCAACCGGGAAUAGGCAAUAGAAACUGGCGAGCUAGAGGACAAGAGAGAGAAGUGGGAAUUCUCGGAGUAGCGGUAAAAUGCGUAGAUCUCGAGAGGAACACCGAUGGCGAAGGCAGCUUCUUGGCUUCGUAUCUGACGCUCAAGUGCGAAAGCGU
rnacentral:rRNA from 1 species